rnacentral:rRNA from 1 species
CCUACGGGGGGCAGCAGUGGGGAAUAUUGGACAAUGGGCGAAAGCCUGAUCCAGCCAUGCCGCGUGUGUGAAGAAGGCCUUCGGGUUGUAAAGCACUUUCAGUGGGGAAGAAAGCCUUGGGGCUAAUACCCUCGAGGAAGGACAUCACCCACAGAAGAAGCACCGGCUAACUCCGUGCCAGCAGCCGCGGUAAUACGGAGGGUGCGAGCGUUAAUCGGAAUUACUGGGCGUAAAGCGCGCGUAGGCGGUCUGAUAAGCCGGUUGUGAAAGCCCCGGGCUCAACCUGGGAACGGCAUCCGGGACUGUCAGGCUAGAGUGCAGGAGAGGGAGGUAGAAUUCCCGGUGUAGCGGUGAAAUGCGUAGAGAUCGGGAGGAAUACCAGUGGCGAAGGCGGCCUUCUGGACUGACACUGACGCUGAGGUGCGAAAGCGUGGGUAGCAAACAGGAUUAGAUACCCCGGUAGUC